GCAGGGCGCUGUGGCGCGUGCCUGUAGUCCCAGCUACUCGGAUGGAGGAUCGCUUGAGUCCAGGAGUUCUGGGCUGUAGUGUGCUAUGCUGAUCGGGUGUGCGCACUAAGUUCAGCAUCAAUAUGGUGACCUCCCGGAAGCGGGGGAACACCAGGUUGCCUAAGGAGGGGUGAACUGGCCCAGGUUGGAAAAGGAGCAGGUCAAAACUCCCAUGAUGAUCAGUAGUGGGAUCGCUCCUGUGAAUAGCCACUGCGCACCAGCCUGGGCAACAUAGCGAGACC
rnacentral:SRP_RNA from 1 species